rnacentral:rRNA from 1 species
CCUACGGGUGGCAGCAGUGAGGAAUAUUGGUCAAUGGGCGCGAGCCUGAACCAGCCAAGUAGCGUGAAGGAUGACUGCCCUACGGGUUGUAAACUUCUUUUAUAAAGGAAUAAAGUGAGGCACGUGUGCCUUUUUGUAUGUAUUUUAUGAAUAAGGAUCGGCUAACUCCGUGCCAGCAGCCGCGGUAAUACGGAGGUGGCGAGCGUUAUCCGGAAUGAUUGGGCGUAAAGGGUGCGUAGGCGGCCUGCUAAGUCUGGAGUGAAAGGUACCGGCUCAACCGGUACAGGCUCUGGAAACUGGCGGGCUAGAGAGCAGGAGAGGGCGGUGGAACUCCAUGUGUAGCGGUAAAAUGCGUAGAUAUAUGGAGGAACACCAGUGGCGAAGGCGGCUUACUGGACUGUAACUGACGUUGAGGCUCGAAAGCGUGGGGAGCAAACAGGAUUAGAUACCCGUGUAGUC